GAGAACUGGGAUAGUCUAAGGCCACAUGGAGAUCUGUCUUGCACUAUGUUGACAGUUUAGAGGCCCCGGCUAGAGAGGAGUCAGGCCCUUUUCUUGUGGGGUCAAUUAAGUCUGAUCCUCAAUUACCUCCUUGUUUGUCUCUCAGACCCUUGGCCGCUAUUCAGUCGCCAUAUGUGCCUCAGAGCCAGGUACCAGACAACCAGGAACAAGCCCACUGAAAUUAUUUCAAGUCAUCAAGCCUAAGCCUGUUUGCCCUGCCUAACCCUUUCAUUCCUGCAGAAACCACAAAAAAGGUUUUCUCCUACUGCUGCCUUUAUCCCUCUGGCUCAACUCUGAUGCUGGUGCUCCCACGAGUGGCCCCCUGUGGCAUGGCAUGCUGUGUUCUCCCCAGGGAACUCUUUAGGAGACAGGAUGUCUGAGGUCAGAAGUUCCCCCUGGUGACCGAACCAGUUAAGACUGAUGAGAUUCAAGAUCCAGCUCACUUGGCCUUUGAAGAACCUCUAACUUCAUUAUAAUUUAUUUUCCAUACUAAAUGACACUCCCACCAGUGCCAUGACAGUUUAUAAUCACCAUGACAAUGACCAGAAGAAAUUAUGAAAGGACAAAAAGGAAGACCACAACUCCGGUUCUGAGGAAUUCUCCACCCAUUCCCAGAAAAGACAAGAAUACUCCUCCCCUUGUUUUCAAUGCCCAAACCCUUCAUUAAAGAUGCCCCAUAUCUGUGACUUUCUGUCUCUCAUUAAUUGAGAAGUUAAUCUGUGAGUCAAGCUCCCACUUCUCAAGUCCAUGGCCAUUGAAUAAAGUCUGCACUGCUUGAUGCUCA